rnacentral:rRNA from 1 species
UACGUAGGGGGCAAGCGUUGUCCGGAUUUAUUGGGCGUAAAAGGGGCGCGCUAUGGAGCGGCUUGGCAAGUGGAUGGUGAAAUCCCUCGGCUUAACCGAGGAACUGCCGUCCAAACUGCUUUGCUUGAGACCGGGAGAGGUGAGUGGAAUUCCCAGUGUAGCGGUGAAAUGCGUAGAUAUUGGGAGGAACACCAGUGGCGAAGGCGGCUCACUGGACCGGUACUGACGCUGAUGCGCGAAAGCGUGGGGAGCAAACGGG